ACGACAAACAGCUGAUUUUCGUUCCACUAAAAUCUAUCAGAACGAAAAUUUGCACGAAAAUCAAAGCGAACGAAAACGUAAGCAUUUCAGUGUAAUUUUGCGUUCCACUAUCUUUUUUCUUUCGUACGCAUGCGAACACAAAUGUCAAAAUCAGUCACUUGUGUGUUUGCUAUCGUAUAAUAACAAUUAAGGAAAAUUGUUUUAACAUAAACAUUGCUUGAUUGAAAAUGGAAACAAAAAUCACGAAAAAAUCAUCAACUACACAGCUGCGGGCACUAGUUGAGUAAAUGGAGGAGAAUCCUGUGUUCGCCAGAGGAAUGCCAAUUUUUGGAAGCAGCAGAAGAAGUUUUAAAUCGGGGCGGAUUUGGGUAGUUCUGCAACCGGGCACCCACUUCUCUUCCAUCAUAUCCAAAAGAGCCCGAAAACUUCCUUCGACACACGAAAGUUGGCCACAAACCUAGAAAAAAUAAUUUUUUAUUAUUUCAAAAAUGUAAAAAUACAAUCAUACUUACUGGUUGUUAGGUACUUCAAAUAAAUUCGAAGCAUCUCUUAAAUUCCUCCGUGGCACAUUUCGAACCUCCUCCAUAAAAAAUAGGGCUACGGAAAUAUUCUUUUUUUUUAUUUUCUAAGAGCACAAAUAGUUUGAACACAAUCACUAGAAAUUUUAUUUUGUUUGUUUAUUUACAAUUUGUUUGUUUACAACUGAAAUGUCAGUUGAGACAGAGCCACUGCUGCUUUUUCGCGUUUAAAUUAGACAUUUGACGCUUUUUUUGCUUUAUUUCGCGAUUAAUUUUUCCAAAAAAAUAUUUAGCAACACUGAAUCACGUAAGGCUAUGCGAAAGAAAGAACGAAAGUUAGUGGAACGCAUUCUUAUACGAAAGUGAGUGAGUAGCCUUCGUUCGCACAAAUUUUCUUUCGAGAUCGUGGAACAGGCUGUAACUUAAAAAUUAAAGAAUAACUAAUAUUUGUCGCGCAAAAAAAUAAAAAGAGGAAAUAUGAAGCAACUGAUGUAUUCACUUUUGGAUGAUUCCAGCAGUGAAGAGGACUGGCUGAAUGAGGAAUCAGACGAAGAAAACGUAUUGGAAAACAGUGCAGAAUUAGUAAAAGGUUGACUGUCUUCCCAACUUGUGGCAUUAAGUCUUCUUGCAGACUUAACAUUAAUUUAACCGGCGCCUCCAACCAUGUCAGCUUCUCCGGGUUGGGAUUUGAGAAAACUCCACCACUAAAUACUCUUCAACGCAUUCUGAAAACAAAACUUUCUAAAUAAACACCAUUCAAAAAUAAUUAAUAAUUUUAACUUAUUUUCAAUACUCAUUUUUUACAUUUUGGCGUCCAUUUCAGUAAGGUUUCACCAGUCCGAUUUAGACUGUUUUCUUUUGGAAUUUUGAAUGUUGACAUUUUAGCGCAUUUCUGCUAAUUUUCCGUUCCCUUAUUUUUUGAGCAAACCUAAAU